CUCUGGAAGUCUUCCAGUUACCAGAUGGAUAAACCUAUGCAUGCAGAAUAGAGAGGCUGGCUCAAGUUUAUGGUCAUCAUCUCUGCUUCGGCUCUCCUGGUGAAGGAGUACUGGGGAUAUCCAUGACCUCAUGAGUUUUGAAAGAUCAGAAUGUGCUGUGAAGACUCUGGAUCCAGCCAAUGGUUCUUUCUAUGUGUUCCAAAGGAAAAACAAAAACAAAACAAGAUGUCUAAUUCUGAUAAGAGAUGAUCCUCUCAAUAAAGCCUUGCUUGAUAAGUAUGUGUUUUCCUCUUCAAGGCAGUGCCAUCUUGGAACAUCAGAGACAGAUGAUCACCUCAUUUAUGCCUCUAUUUUCUAUUUUGAUUUCUUAUUCUCCCUCAAAAUAUAUAGUGGAAAAAAACCAUAUGAACACUAAAAAAAGCUAUAUUUGUCCAAAUAUGGACCAACCCCUCAAAUAGACCAUACCCAUUAAAAUGAGGUUUCUAAAUCUUGGUUACCAAAAAAGCUUUGCUAU
rnacentral:lncRNA from 1 species